rnacentral:rRNA from 1 species
UACGUAGGUCCCGAGCGUUGUCCCGAUUUAUUGGGCGUAAAGCGAGCGCAGGUGGUUUAUUAAGUCUGGUGUAAAAGGCAGUGGCUCAACCAUUGUAUGCAUUGGAAACUGGUAGACUUGAGUGCAGGAGAGGAGAGUGGAAUUCCAUGUGUAGCGGUGAAAUGCGUAGAUAUAUGGAGGAACACCGGUGGCGAAAGCGGCUCUCUGGCCUGUAACUGACACUGAGGCUCGAAAGCGUGGGGAGCAAACAGG